UAUAAUGCAGUCGAGCGGACAGAAGGGAGCUUGCUCCCGGAUGUUAGCGGCGGACGGGUGAGUAACACGUGGGUAACCUGCCUGUAAGACUGGGAUAACUCCGGGAAACCGGAGCUAAUACCGGAUAGUUCCUUGAACCGCAUGGUUCAAGGAUGAAAGACGGUUUCGGCUGUCACUUACAGAUGGACCCGCGGCGCAUUAGCUAGUUGGUGAGGUAACGGCUCACCAAGGCGACGAUGCGUAGCCGACCUGAGAGGGUGAUCGGCCACACUGGGACUGAGACACGGCCCAGACUCCUACGGGAGGCAGCAGUAGGGAAUCUUCCGCAAUGGACGAAAGUCUGACGGAGCAACGCCGCGUGAGUGAUGAAGGUUUUCGGAUCGUAAAGCUCUGUUGUUAGGGAAGAACAAGUGCAAGAGUAACUGCUUGCACCUUGACGGUACCUAACCAGAAAGCCACGGCUAACUACGUGCCAGCAGCCGCGGUAAUACGUAGGUGGCAAGCGUUGUCCGGAAUUAUUGGGCGUAAAGGGCUCGCAGGCGGUUUCUUAAGUCUGAUGUGAAAGCCCCCGGCUCAACCGGGGAGGGUCAUUGGAAACUGGGAAACUUGAGUGCAGAAGAGGAGAGUGGAAUUCCACGUGUAGCGGUGAAAUGCGUAGAGAUGUGGAGGAACACCAGUGGCGAAGGCGACUCUCUGGUCUGUAACUGACGCUGAGGAGCGAAAGCGUGGGGAGCGAACAGGAUUAGAUA
rnacentral:rRNA from 1 species